rnacentral:rRNA from 1 species
CCUACGGGUGGCAGCAGUGGGGAAUAUUGGUCAAUGGGCGCAAGCCUGACCCAGCAACGCCGCGUGAAGGAAGAAGGCUCUCGGGUUGUAAACUUCUUUUAUCAAGGACGAAACUAAUGGCGGUACUUGAAUAAUAAGCCACUGAUACCUACGUACCAGCAGCGGUGGUAAGACGGAGGUGGCAAGCGUUAUCCGUAUUUACUGGGGGUAAAGGGCGUGUAGGCGGGACAGCAAGUCAGAUGUGAAAACCAUGGGCUCAACCCAUGGACUGCAUUUGAAACUGUAGUUCUUGAGUGUUGGAGAGGCAGGCGGAAUUCCGGGUGUAGCGGUGAAAUGCGUAGAUAUACGGAGGAACACCAGUGGCGAAGGCGGCCUGCUGGACAAUAACUGACGCUGAGGCGCGAAAGCGUGGGGAGCAAACAGGAUUAGAUACCCUGGUAGUC